rnacentral:rRNA from 1 species
GACGAACGCUGGCGGCGUGCCUAACACAUGCAAGUCGAGCGAAUGAAGUUCCUUCGGGAACGGAUUUAGCGGCGGACGGGUGAGUAACACGUGGACAACCUGCCUCAUAGAGGGGAAUAGCCUUCCGAAAGGGAGAUUAAUACCGCAUAAGAUUGUAGUACCGCAUGGUACAGCAAUUAAAGGAGUAAUCCGCUAUGAGAUGGGCCCGCGGCGCAUUAGCUAGUUGGUGAGGUAACGGCUCACCAAGGCGACGAUGCGUAGCCGACCUGAGAGGGUGAUCGGCCACAUUGGGACUGAGACACGGCCCAGACUCCUACGGGAGGCAGCAGUGGGGAAUAUUGCACAAUGGGGGAAACCCUGAUGCAGCAACGCGGCGUGAGUGAUGACGGCCUUCGGGUUGUAAAGCUCUGUCUUCAGGGACGAUAAUGACGGUACCUGAGGAGGAGCCACGGCUAACUACGUGCCAGCCGCCGCCGUAA